GGAUGGGUGUGCCCGGGGCGGGGCUGGACUGCGGGGGCAGGAGGUGCUGGAGGGGAGGGGGCAUUGCUGGGGCAGUUCGGACCCUUUCGCUUCCCUUCGCGGAGGCGGUGGGUGGAUGAAGGUCUGGGCAGACGGGCUCGUGGGGCUCUCAGAGGCGCUAGGGGCUGAGGUCCAGGUUGCCCGGGAAGAGCAAGAGGCCUGCGAUUGACCGCCCAGCUUGGAGAAGUGGAACCCACAUGCCUUGGAGCAACUGCUGAGCCAGUGGCCACAACUAGAGAGGAGAGGAACUUUGGACCCAGAUGUGUGCAGAAGGAAGGCUAGGAGAACCCACAGGGAGCAGCCAGCCGUCUAGAAACCAAGGAGAUUCUCCUCCCCAGCCUGCUGACAACUUGAUCUUGGACUUCGAAGCCUCCCGAACUGUGAAAUGACACUUUCAGCUGGUGAAGCACCCCCCAGUCUGCAGCCCUUUGUUACAGCAGCCUGACAACCAAUGCAGGUGCUGGUCUCAGAGCCCAGCGGCUGGCUCUGCCCUCUCUGGCUGGUGCCUCCCACCUUGCAGUCCACCCAGUCUUGGGGCGGGGGGCGGUCUCCACAAAGACAAGUUUGUGGUGAAGCCUCAGGUCACCCUGGGCUUCUCGGCUCCCUUAACUCUUGUCCUAGCAACAGGAAAUUCAGACCAGCUAGAGCUGGAAAAGCCUUGUGGGCACAUAAAUAAAGCAGCAUGGAGGUGGA